rnacentral:rRNA from 1 species
AUACGGAGGGUGCAAGCGUUACUCGGAAUCACUGGGCGUAAAGCGCGCGCAGGCGGGCUGAUAAGUUGGAUGUGAAAGCCUACGGCUCAACCGUAGAACUGCAUCCAAAACUGUUCGUCUAGAGUCUGGGAUGGGAAGAUGGAAUUAGUUGUGUAGGGGUAAAAUCCGUAGAGAUAACUAGGAAUACCAAAAGCGAAGGCGAUCUUCUGGAACAGUACUGACGCUGAGGCGCGAAAGCGUGGGGAGCAAACAGGAUUAGAAACCCUAGUAGUCC